rnacentral:rRNA from 1 species
UACAGAGGGUGCGAGCGUUGUUCGGAAUUAUUGGGCGUAAAGGGCGCGUAGGCGGUGCCACAAGUCACUUGUGAAAUCCCCGGGCUUAACUCGGGGCCUGCAGGCGAAACUGUGGUGCUGGAGUGUGGGAGAGGUGCGUGGAAUUCCCGGUGUAGCGGUGAAAUGCGUAGAGAUCGGAAGGAACACCAGUGGCGAAGGCGGCUACCUGGACAGAUACUGACACUGAGGCGCGAGAGCGUGGGGAGCAAACAGG